rnacentral:rRNA from 1 species
AGUGAACGCUGGCGGUAGGCCUAACACAUGCAAGUCGAACGGCAGCACAGUAAGAGCUUGCUCUUACGGGUGGCGAGUGGCGGACGGGUGAGGAAUACAUCGGAAUCUACUUUUUCGUGGGGAUAACGUAGGGAAACUUACGCUAAUACCGCAUACGACCUACGGGUGAAAGCAGGGGAUCUUCGGACCUUGCGCGAUUGAAUGAGCCGAUGUCGGAUCAGCUAGUUGGCGGGGUAAAGGCCCACCAAGGCGACGAUCCGUAGCUGGUCUGAGAGGAUGAUCAGCCACACUGGAACUGAGACACGGUCCAGACUCCUACGGGAGGCAGCAGUGGGGAAUAUUGGACAAUGGGCGCAAGCCUGAUCCAGCCAUACCGCGUGGGUGAAGAAGGCCUUCGGGUUGUAAAGCCCUUUUGUUGGGAAAGAAAAGCAGCAGGUUAAUACCCCGCUGUUCUGACGGUACCCAAAGAAUAAGCACCGGCUAACUUCGUG